rnacentral:rRNA from 1 species
AGUGAACGCUGGCGGUAGGCCUAACACAUGCAAGUCGAACGGCAGCACAGUAAGAGCUUGCUCUUACGGGUGGCGAGUGGCGGACGGGUGAGGAAUACAUCGGAAUCUACUUUUUCGUGGGGGAUAACAUAGGGAAACUUACGCUAAUACCGCAUACGACCUACGGGUGAAAGCAGGGGAUCUUCGGACCUUGCGCGAUUGAAUGAGCCGAUGUCGGAUUAGCUAGUUGGCGGGGUAAAGGCCCACCAAGGCGACGAUCCGUAGCUGGUCUGAGAGGAUGAUCAGCCACACUGGAACUGAGACACGGUCCAGACUCCUACGGGAGGCAGCAGUGGGGAAUAUUGGACAAUGGGCGCAACCCUGAUCCAGCCAUACCGCGUGGGUGAAGAAGGCCUUCGGGUUGUAAAGCCCUUUUGUUGGGAAAGAAAAGCAGCAGGUUAAUACCCCGCUGUUCUGACGGUACCCAAAGAAUAAGCACCGGCUAACUUCGUG